rnacentral:lncRNA from 1 species
UGUAAUAAUUGGGAUAAUAUGUAUGUGGCGAAAGUAAAGUGGACGAAAAGACAACAUCCCGCCGGCAGGGAAUGAACCUGCGACCUUCGUCGUAGU